GCCGCCGUAGCUCAGCAGGCAGAGCGCCGGCCUCGUAACUUUUCGGAUCUAUCUUGCGCGGGAGAGCCGGUGGUCGCGGGUUCAAGUCCCGCCGGCGGCU
rnacentral:tRNA from 1 species